rnacentral:rRNA from 1 species
UACGUAGGGUGCAAGCGUUGUCCGGAAUUAUUGGGCGUAAAGAGCUCGUAGGCGGUCUGUUGCGUCUGCUGUGAAAUCUCAGGGCUUAACCCUGAGCUUGCAGUGGGUACGGGCAGACUAGAGUGCGGUAGGGGAGACUGGAAUUCCUGGUGUAGCGGUGAAAUGCGCAGAUAUCAGGAGGAACACCGGUGGCGAAGGCGGGUCUCUGGGCCGUAACUGACGCUGAGGAGCGAAAGCAUGGGGAGCGAACAGG